CUCUCUCUCUCUCUCUCCCCCCGGCGAAAUACUUCUUCUCUCCGCCAUUACGUCGGUGACUGGAACUGAAUCUCCGACGCCGUUUCACAACUAGAUCUCUGAUGCACGACGCCGAUUGGAACCAGAUCUCCGAUUCUCUCCUCUUCCUCUCUCUCUCCCUCUCUCUCUCUCCGGCGAAACACUCAUUUUCUCCACCAUCACGUCGGCGACUGAAACUGAAUCUCCUAUGCACGAUGCCGUUUCGCGAUUGGAUCUCCGAUGCACGAUGCCGACUGGAACCAGAUCUUCGAUUCUCUCCUCUUCCUCUUAACUCCACCGGCCGACCACGUCUCCAUCUUAGGCUCCCUCGAUGACUCCCUCAGAUUGCUCCAUCUCAGGUUGCUGAAAGCCAAGGCUGAACCCAAAAAAAACAAUGAAGAAGAAGAAAGUUUAGAAAGUAAACAAGAAGAAGCAUGCUGAUGUUCUGAAGCGUCCUAUUGAAGCCUUCUUCAUCUUCAUAAUUCUUCCCCUUUGCAUUUGUAGUGGUAGAUUUCGAAACUCAUGUGAAUUUGGAUAUUGAAGUCUCCAUUGGCCAAGAGAUCAUUCGACUAACCAAGAAAUGUGGAAAUGAAGCCUCGUGCGGAAGGUGGCAAAAUUAUGCCUAUGGGAUUAGGGCGUCACCAUUGAAAAAUGACAGUAGCUUUAUACAACUGUUGUAAUAGAUUUUCAUAACUAUAUUAGUGGCUUUUUACAACUAUAGAAGUAGCCUUUUACAUAGUUAUAUCAUUGUUGAACCCUGGAUGCUUUUUUUUAUCAUUGGAUAUGGUUUCAUUUCUCGA